UUGAAUUCUGAUUUUGACCAGACUUCUCCUUUAAACAUUGUGUUUAAAAACUGUAUUAAGAUCUGUAUUAUUCACAACUAAUAUAAUGCUUUUUUUGACCAUAUGACUUAGCGGAGAACGCCACAGACAAGGGGUGAAGGAGACAGACAUGAGAUCAGUGAUAGAAGAGACAAGUGAUGACAUCAGGCAAAAGAACAGAGAUGGCCCGGCACAGACGACCCCAGACUUUCAGGGAGUAGAAGUUCUCCGUUUGGGUUUAUCCUCUGUCCUUUUCUAUAGAACAGUCUAAACAUGUGUUGUGUGGUUUUUGUUCUAGGAUAAAAGGGGUUAUCUUUAAUAACCCUAACAGCCUGGUGCCGUGAUGCGGAUCCCAACAUAUCAGCUCGCUGACGAGAGGAGCAACGCGCUGAAACCCACCGGUGGUCUGAGUUAAGGACCUGUCUAAAGUCCCGGGAGGUAACUUCCUCACUACGCCAGCGUCAUAGGUUAACUCCUUUCGCCAACGAGGGAUUGACAGGAUCCGACCGGGAGAAAAGCACACCACAGCACGUAAGUUUUAAAGCGAUCGGUUAAAGUCUGUCGUUCAGGGUUUCGGGUGAUUAAAAGUUCCCCAAACAGUUGUGCAAGCGGUUUAAGUCCCUUGUAACGGGUGAUUAAAAAAAA